rnacentral:rRNA from 1 species
GAAGGCACGCUGGUGUGUAGGUGAAGUCCCUGCGGAUGGAGCUGAGACCAGUCGAAGAUACCAGCUGGCUGCAACUGUUUAUUAAAAACACAGCACUGUGCAAACACGAAAGUGGACGUAUACGGUGUGACGCCUGCCCGGUGCCGGAAGGUUAAUUGAUGGGGUUAUCCGUAAGGAGAAGCUCUUGAUCGAAGCCCCGGUAAACGGCGGCCGUAACUAUAACGGUCCUAAGGUAGCGAAAUUCCUUGUCGGGUAAGUUCCGACCUGCACGAAUGGCGUAAUGAUGGCCAGGCUGUCUCCACCCGAGACUCAGUGAAAUUGAACUCGCUGUGAAGAUGCAGUGUACCCGCGGCAAGACGGAAAGACCCCGUGAACCUUUACUAUAGCUUGACACUGAACAUUGAGCCUUGAUGUGUAGGAUAGGUGGGAGGCUUUGAAGCGUGGACGCCAGUCUGCGUGGAGCCAACCUUGAAAUACCACCCUUUAAUGUUUGAUGUUCUAACGUUGGCCCCUGACCGGGGUUGCGGACAGUGUCUGGUGGGUAGUUUGACUGGGGCGGUCUCCUCCCAAAGCGUAACGGAGGAGCACGAAGGUUAGCUAAUCCUGGUCGGACAUCAGGAGGUUAGUGCAAUGGCAUAAGCUAGCUUGACUGCGAGCGUGACGGCGCGAGCAGGUGCGAAAGCAGGUCAUAGUGAUCCGGUGGUUCUGAAUGGAAGGGCCAUCGCUCAACGGAUAAAAGGUACUCCGGGGAUAACAGGCUGAUACCGCCCAAGAGUUCAUAUCGACGGCGGUGUUUGGCACCUCGAUGUCGGCUCAUCACAUCCUGGGGCUGAAGUAGGUCCCAAGGGUAUGGCUGUUCGCCAUUUAAAGUGGUACGCGAGCUGGGUUUAGAACGUCGUGAGACAGUUCGGUCCCUAUCUGCCGUGGGCGCUGGAGAAUUGAGGGGGGCUGCUCCUAGUACGAGAGGACCGGAGUGGACGCAUCACUGGUGUUCGGGUUGUCAUGCCAAUGGCACUGCCCGGUAGCUAAAUGCGGAAGAGAUAAGUGCUGAAAGCAUCUAAGCACGAAACUUGCCCCGAGAUGAGUUCUCCCUGAGACUUUAAGUCUCCUGAAGGAACGUUGAAGACGACGACGUUGAUAGGCCGGGUGUGUAAGCGCAGCGAUGCGUUGAGCUAACCGGUACUAAUGAACCGUGAGGCUUAACCUU